GUGAGGAGAAAGGCAGAUGCGGAGUAUUUCUUUUUAUACCUUUCGAUGACCUGCCCUCGUACCGCAGGUGAGGGGGCGCCGUAUUAU
rnacentral:sRNA from 1 species